rnacentral:rRNA from 1 species
AACGAACGCUGGCGGCAUGCCUAACACAUGCAAGUCGAACGAGACCUUCGGGUCUAGUGGCGCACGGGUGCGUAACGCGGGGGAACCUGCCCGUAGGUUCGGAAUAACUCCCCGAAAGGUGUGCUAAUACCGGAUAAUGUCUUCGGACCAAAGAUUUAUCGCCGUUGGAUGGGCCCGCGUUGGAUUAGCUAGUUGGUAGGGUAAAAGCCUACCAAGGCGACGAUCCAUAGCUGGUCUGAGAGGAUGAUCAGCCACACUGGGACUGAGACACGGCCCAGACUCCUACGGGAGGCAGCAGUGGGGAAUAUUGGACAAUGGGCGAAAGCCUGAUCCAGCAAUGCCGCGUGAGUGAUGAAGGCCUUAGGGUUGUAAAGCUCUUUUACCCGGGAUGAUAAUGACAGUACCGGGAGAAUAAGCUCCGGCUAACUCCGUG